rnacentral:rRNA from 1 species
AUUGGACGCUGGCGGCAGGCCUAACACAUGCAAGUCGAGCGGAUGAAGGGAGCUUGCUCCUGGAUUCAGCGGCGGACGGGUGAGUAAUGCCUAGGAAUCUGCCUGGUAGUGGGGGAUAACGUCCGGAAACGGGCGCUAAUACCGCAUACGUCCUGAGGGAGAAAGUGGGGGAUCUUCGGACCUCACGCUAUCAGAUGAGCCUAGGUCGGAUUAGCUAGUUGGUGGGGUAAAGGCCUACCAAGGCGACGAUCCGUAACUGGUCUGAGAGGAUGAUCAGUCACACUGGAACUGAGACACGGUCCAGACUCCUACGGGAGGCAGCAGUGGGGAAUAUUGGACAAUGGGCGAAAGCCUGAUCCAGCCAGGCCGCGUGUGUGAAGAAGGUCUUCGGAUUGUAAAGCACUUUAAGUUGGGAGGAAGGGCAGUAAGUUAAUACCUUGCUGUUUUGACGUUACCAACAGAAUAAGCACCGGCUAACUUCGUG